rnacentral:rRNA from 1 species
GAACAGGAUUAGAUACCCCUGGUAGUCCACCCCGUAAACGGUGAAUACUGGGAUGUGGGGCCCCGUUCCCACGGGUUUCCGUGUCGGAGCUAACGCGUUAAGCAUCCCGCCUGGGGGAGUACGGCCGCAAGGCUAAAACUCAAAGAAAUUGACGGGGGCCCGCACAAGCGGCGGAGCAUGCGGAUUAAUUCGAUGCAACGCGAAGAACCUUACCUGGGCUUGACAUGUUCCCGACAGCCGUAGAGAUAUGGCCUCCCUUCGGGGCGGGUUCACAGGUGGUGCAUGGUCGUCGUCAGCUCGUGUCGUGAGAUGUUGGGUUAAGUCCCGCAACGAGCGCAACCCUCGCCCUGUGUUGCCAGCACGUCAUGGUGGGAACUCACGGGGGACCGCCGGGGUCAACUCGGAGGAAGGUGGGGAUGACGUCAGAUCAUCAUGCCCCUUACGUCCAGGGCUUCACGCAUGCUACAAUGGCCGGUACAACGGGAUGCGACACGGCGACGUGGAGCGGAUCCCUGAAAACCGGUCUCAGUUCGGAUUGGAGUCUGCAACCCGACUCCAUGAAGGCGGAGUCGCUAGUAAUCGCGGAUCAGCAACGCCGCGGUGAAUGCGUUCCCGGACCUUGU